rnacentral:rRNA from 1 species
UACGUAGGGGGCAAGCGUUGUCCGGAAUCAUUGGGCGUAAAGCGCGUGUAGGCGGCUCGAUAAGUCUGCUGUGAAAGUCCAGGGCUCAACCCUGGGAUGCCGGUGGAUACUGUCGAGCUCGAGUCCGGAAGAGGAGUGUGGAAUUCCUGGUGUAGCGGUGAAAUGCGCAGAUAUCAGGAGGAACACCAAUGGCGAAGGCAGCACUCUGGGACGUGACUGACGCUGAGACGCGAAAAGCGUGGGGGAGCAAACAGG